rnacentral:tRNA from 2 species
GCCCCUAUCGUCUAGAGGCCUAGGACGCCGCCCUCUCACGGCGGUAACGCCGGUUCGAAUCCGGCUAGGGGUA